GGGAUGAGUAUUUCAAGGUUUGAAGGCAUCUUGGAGAUUUGUUCACUGCUAUGUCCCCAGCACUCAGGACAACGCUGGCACAUGGAUGACCUGUUGAAUAGAUUAGACAAGAGGCAGCAUGGGGUGGUGGAUAAAUCGUGGACCAGGAGCGAAGCAAAGAUCUGCUCACCUGGGACACUCACCAGGCUGCCUAUGAGUGGACCAGAUGGAUAAACCAGAGACCUUCACCUUAAGGGGCCCAGC